ACGGAAGGCAGCAGUGGGGGAUAUUGCACAAUGGGGGAAACCCUGAUGCAGCGACGCCGCGUGAGCGAAGAAGAUCUUCGGAUUGUAAAGCUCUGUCUUAGGGGACGAUAAUGACGGUACCCUGAGAGGAAGCCACGGCUAACUACGUGCCAGCAGCCGCGGUAAUACGUAGGUGGCAAGCGUUGUCCGGAAUUACUGGGUGUAAAGGGAGCGCAGGCGGGUCGACAAGUUGGAAGUGAAAAUUACGGGCUUAACCCGUAAACUGCUUUCAAAACUGCCGAUCUUGAGUGGUGUAGAGGUAGGCGGAAUUCCCGGUGUAGCGGCGGAAUGCGUAGAUAUCGGGAGGAACACCAGUGGCGAAGGCGGCCUACUGGGUACUAACUGACGCUGAGGCUCGAAAGCAUGGGUAGCAAACAGGAUUAGAUACCCUGGUA
rnacentral:rRNA from 1 species